UACAGGGGGGGCAAGCGUUGUUCGGAAUUACUGGGCGUAAAGGGCUCGUAGGCGGCCAACUAAGUCCGACGUGAAAUCCCAAGGCUUAACCUUGGAACUGCGUCGGAUACUGGUUGGCUUGAAUUCGGGAGAGGGAUGCAGAAUUCCAGGUGUAGCGGUGAAAUGCGUAGAUAUCUGGAGGAAUACCAGUGGCGAAGGCGGCUUACUGGCUCAUUCCUGACGCUGAGGAGCGAAAGCGUGGGGAGCAAACGGG
rnacentral:rRNA from 1 species